UACAUUGUAAUCAAACUGAUCAAUACCAAGGCAAUCAAUUAAUGACCUACCAAAAAUCAAAUAAACCUAAUUAACUCCUCCAAUAUUAUCUCCCAAACCCUUGUUUUCAAGCUUGAACCAAAACAAAGAAAUCUCCAUUGAAGAUAAAGAACAGAUUUAUAUUGGCCGUCGUUGUUGUUGGUCGUACGUUGCUUGCCAGAACAUUCGUCAAGGAAACAAAACGAAAACCCACAGUCAUUCGUUCAUUGCUUGCUGGAACGGUCGUCAAAAAAAUAGCCUAUGCAUCGUCCGUCUAUAGAAGCAGUCGUCGCUUCAACCCAGAGUUCGUCGUUCCUCCAUCAAAGCAGUCGUUGCUGGAUCUACAAAAUAGCCCGACGUUCGUUCAUUGGUUGGAAUCGUUCGUUUGUCGUCUACAAAACAACUGUCCACUAUUCAUUCUGCCGUUCACCGUUUAGUUCGAGAUUGAUAAAGAUAAGGUUUACAAACUAUUAAUUUUCCUUUAUAAAGCAAUGCCUCCAAUUUUUGAUAAAUUUGAUAUUAGAGAUAUAUUGCUAGAAAGUAUCGUUGGUUCUUAUACGUUAGAGAAAUAAUGUUAAGAGCAAUCAGAUAAAUAGCAAGUUAUUAAAUUUAGUUUUACAAAACUAAAAGAACAUCUAACAAGUAGAUUUUUCAUUUUUUUUAGGAGUCAUCAAAAACACAAAAUAUUAGACCUUUACCAAGGUUAUUUAUAUUAAUAAAUAUAAAGAAGGAUUAGAGAUAUGAAAGAAAAGGUAACUGAAAGAAGAACAAAGGCCGGUGAAACAUUGAGAGCUGCGGAAUUAGUGGUGGAAAAAAACAAGCAAACAAAAACCCAAUAAAUCUUGCAAGUGAGGAAAAGAUGUGUGUUUUUAUUUUCUAUGUACAAAGAUUUUGAAAACAAAAAUGCUAACAAUAUUUGCACAAUAGAAAAUACAAAACACAAUGGGUGGAUCAUCGGUAGCAAAACGUGAUACCAAUAGAAAUACAAAAAAGAGAGCGAGAUUAAGUUAGAAAAGAAGUCAUUGAUCCCAAAGAAAACAAAGACCAAAUGCGCUCAUGGUAAUACAACUUUAUAUAUCUUCAAAUUCUAUUUAACUUACUAACUAAAUGUGCAAGUUGCAAAAAGGACAGUAGGAAAAAAGAAAAAAGCAAUUAAAGGAUGUAAAGAAAGAAAAAGGUUGAGGAGGAAGAAGAAACAAUUGAAGAUGAUGAGGAGCAAACAAAGAAAACAAUGAAGGUGAAACUUCAAGAUCAAUCAGUUAAGAGGCAUUAGUGUCGGAUGAGGGAACCAAGAAGAAGAAAACUGGCAAGGGAAAGAAGGUAUCAAGUGUGAAUAACAAAGGACAAGAAGUCAACAAAGCAAAAAGGAAAAACAUCAAUAAUACAACAAAAAAAGGGAUGCAUCCUUAUUACAAUCCACAAUAUUUGAGAUUUGUUUUAGUACAUCAUUUACUUUUGGCCAAUAUGUAGUUAAGAAAGUACAUAGUAUUCGGUAAUUGUGAUUGCGAAACCUAGAUAUUUAACUUAUAAUUGAACCCCAGUUAAUUAUUACUCCAAUGACAACAAAUUUUAUUGGAAUGCA